CUGAUGUUGGGCUUCUAAAAGUAAGUUUUUGAGCCAGUAGAUGGCUCUAUCGUCGUCCCUUGGCUUACCCUAUCAACCACAUACUCCAUGAAUUCGCCGAUGUAACGUUUCCUCUGAUCAUUCAAACUUUGCAAUUAAGCUUGCUAUUUAUGAACCCUAAACCUCUACUUCCCACUACAUGCCAUUAAUUUCUCUAAUCCCUGCUCUUUUGCCAUUAUCUAAUCUUCUCCUAUAAUCACGCAUGCGAGCAUCCAGAAAUCUCAUCACUCAAACCUCUUUCUUACUAUUUCUCUCCUACAAACACAGAACCGGCGAUUAAAAGUUCAACAGCAUGUCCCUUUAACUUUUCACUGUCUAAAUUCCCAUCAUACAUCUUCACUCCUUUGCUGGGCCACUUGUCUGACUGUGUUUGACGGGCUCGCCAUGAUUCGUCACCAGAAAAUAGAGAGGUCGGGGGUGGAGUCUAGGAUCAUCAUCGCCACAAACAUCAAGCCCAAAUUCGUAAGAGGUUGCAUAUUCCUUAAAGGCAACAUAUACGACACACUUCUAUCUCCGCUGUCUCAUGGUAUGUGUUUGUUCUCAACGGUUGAGGGAUUUGUAACUUAAAUUUAAACCGUCUGAAAAUAAAAUUCAUAGAAGAUGAGAAAGAGGUCGGAUCAGAGGUCGAGGAGAGGUUUGCUUGGAUCUUUUCUGCAUCCACAUCGAGCUUUACCAACAUAAUGGGAUGGACAAGGUUUGGUUCCAAGGAUGAUUAAAUUGUGUUUAUUAUUUUGUGAUUUAACAUGAAGUCUGUGAGUAAUCUAUUGAAAGCCAGAAAGCUGCAGCGUUACAAAGUUUUUCUAUACAUAUACUAGAAUAAGGGUGGAUACGAGGAAUAAGAAUAGAGAAUAUUAGUAGAGUUACUGCUUCGAAAUGACCAAAACAGAGACUUAAGACAUGUAUGUGUGCCAUCAGGAUGCCUUGAUUGUGUUAUGACCCAUAUGUUUUCAUUUGAUGAGGGCUUUGCUAUCUUGAUGAAUGGAAUGUGGAGAGAGAGAGAUGGAGGAGGGUAAUCUUACAUUUCUCUAUUUCCAAAAUGAGAAGUGGUUUGUAUUAUGGGUGAAAAUGAUUUCUUCUCUUCAGCCAAUCCAAUGCUUUUUAAAAUUUUAGAACUGCCGAGGUGUGAGGGUAGAGUAGAGAGCACAGCUCUUGGCUGAAGGUGCAGCUGAUGAGUUAAUUUGCUUUAGCUGGUAGUAUGAUUAUGUCAUGUUCAAUUCGUAACAUCCAUGUGUUUGUGGAAUACAAGUGUUACUUCUAAAAUUUGAUUUUGUAGGCUUCUAACUUAUUAUCUUAUCAGCAAAUUCCAGUUUCUAGCCAAUUAGAUGGUCCCUCAGUGUUCAAUCCCAGUAAAAGCCAAGGCUUUGAUGACUGGGGCUUAGAACAAGCAGCCUAACUGUUGUCGUGUGCUGGCGGAAAACUUUGCAGUCAAGAAGGAAAGGAUGAAUGCAGUUUCAAAGAUCAGAUUUGUUGGAGACAUUGUUGACACAGAUUCCAAUUGCUUAACAGUUCAUGAAACCAAACUUAAGGUCAGACACUUAUGGUUUAGCCUGUGUUGAAAAGCAUAAAUUUGUGUUUUAUGAUAUGCUUGAUGGGGAAGUAUCAAAAGAUGAGGUUUCAAGGGAUAUCCUAAGGUUAAUGCACUACACAUAUAGAAACCAAGGGUUUCAGUUGUUUCUCAGCUUCUUUGAAAUCCACGGAGGAAAGCGUUAUGAUCUCCUCAAAGAGAGGAAAUCAGUUGAGAAGCACGUUGUUAUCUUAUUUUGGCUGCUUUGCACAUAAAAACAAUUAUAGUAUUUGCCUGGGCGUGCUUGAUGUGUAGAUAUUACAUUUUUUUUUGAAACACUGAUAUUACAAUUCAUAUGUAAAAAAUUAG